UGGGGAAUAUUGGACAAUGGGCGGAAGCCUGAUCCAGCCAUGCCGCGUGUGUGAAGAAGGCCUUUUGGUUGUAAAGCACUUUAAGCGAGGAGGAGGCUACUUGGAUUAAUACUCUAGGAUAGUGGACGUUACUCGCAGAAUAAGCACCGGCUAACUCUGUGCCAGCAGCCGCGGUAAUACAGAGGGUGCGAGCGUUAAUCGGAUUUACUGGGCGUAAAGCGUGCGUAGGCGGCUUCUUAAGUCGGAUGUGAAAUCCCUGAGCUUAACUUAGGAAUUGCAUUCGAUACUGGGAAGCUAGAGUAUGGGAGAGGAUGGUAGAAUUCCAGGUGUAGCGGUGAAAUGCGUAGAGAUCUGGAGGAAUACCGAUGGCGAAGGCAGCCAUCUGGCCUAAUACUGACGCGGAGGUACGAAAGCAUGGGGAGCAAACAGG
rnacentral:rRNA from 1 species